rnacentral:rRNA from 1 species
GGAAUCUUCCACAAUGGACGCAAGUCUGAUGGAGCAACGCCGCGUGAGUGAAGAAGGGUUUCGGCUCGUAAAGCUCUGUUGUUAAAGGAGAACGUGGGUAAGAGUAACUGUUUACCCAGUGACGGUAUUUAACCAGAAAGCCACGGCUAACUACGUGCAAG